GGCUUCGUGGUCGAGUGGUAAGGGCACUUGUCUCUCACCCUGGAGUCGCGAGUUCGAUCCCCGUAGUCGAGGAGCUA